GAUGAACGCUGGCGGCGUGCCUAAUACAUGCAAGUCGAGCGAACGGACGAGAAGCUUGCUUCUCUGAUGUUAGCGGCGGACGGGUGAGUAACACAUGGAUAACCUACCUAUAAGACUGGGAUAACUUCGGGAAACCGGAGCUAAUACCGGAUAACAUUUUGAACCGCAUGGUUCAAAAGUGAAAGACGGUCUUGCUGUCACUUAUAGAUGGAUCCGCGCUGCAUUAGCUAGUUGGUAAGGUAACGGCUUACCAAGGCAACGAUGCAUAGCCGACCUGAGAGGGGGAUGGCCCAACUGGGAACGGGAAACCGGCCCAGCCCCCGCGGGGGGGCAGAAGGAGGGAAUCUUCCGAAAUGGGGGAAAGCCGGACGGAGCAACGCCGGGGGGUGGAAGAAGUGUUCCGGAUCGUAAACCGCUUUUAUGAGGGAAAAAAAUAUGUGAAAGUAACUUGGCACAUUUGGACGGUACCAAAAAAGAAAACCACGGCUAACUAGGG
rnacentral:rRNA from 1 species